GUGUCGUGAGAUGUUGGGUUAAGUCCCGUAACGAGCGCAACCCUUGUCCUUAGUUACCAGCACGUUAUGGUGGCACUCUAAGGAGACUGCCGGUGACAAACCGAGGAAGGUGGGGAUGACGUCAAGUCAUCAUGGCCCUUACGGCCUGGGCUACACACGUGCUACAAUGGUCGGUACAAAGGGUUGCCAAGCCGCGAGGUGGAGCUAAUCCCAUAAAACCGAUCGUAGUCCGGAUCGCAGUCUGCAACUCGACUGCGUGAAGUCGGAAUCGCUAGUAAUCGUGAAUCAGAAUGUCACGGUGAAUACGUUCCCGGGCCUU
rnacentral:rRNA from 1 species